CACACACUAGGGAAAAGCUGACAU
rnacentral:piRNA from 1 species